rnacentral:rRNA from 1 species
UACGAAGGGGGCUAGCGUUGUUCGGAAUCACUGGGCGUAAAGCGUAUGCAGGCGGAUCGUUAAGUCGGGGGUGAAAUCCCGAGGCUCAACCUCGGAACUGCCUUCGAUACUGGCGAUCUUCGAGUCCGGGAGAGGUGAGUGGAACUGCGAGUGUAGAGGUGAAAUUCGUAGAUAUUCGCAAGAACACCAGUGGCGAAGGCGGCUCACUGGCCCGGUACUGACGCUGAGAUACGAAAGCGUGGGGAGCAAACAGGAUUAGAAACCCCCGUAGUCC